CUUAACUAGGUCAAUCUAAGAUCUGUUAAUUUUCUUCUUUUUGUGAAUAGACAUUAAAGGACACAUCCUCAUAACUCCCACCUUUUAUAGACAUGAUUGUUUGGCUUAUCUAGCUCAUAAGGUAAAAUAUCCAGUAUCAAGGGCACCCAGAGAGUUCUUCACCUGGACUUAAGCCUCAUAGUUACCAUUAACAAGAGCACUAUAUUGGGCAUUGACAUGCACAAGGAGAAUUUGGGGGGAUCAAUGUCCUUUAUAGGCUGUGAGAUGAGUGAUUGACCUUUGAAAUACAAAGGUCCUUGCCUACGGGGAACCUAUGAGCACUAAAAAUCUAGGAUACCACUGUCAAGAGUCUUGAGAAGGCUAUUUGUCCUAUAGAUGGGACUACAUCGAUUCAAAGGGAUUUCCUAUAAUCCAUACCUGGAGAAGGUUCUAAAGAUCAUCUUAUCAAAUUAGAGGUGGUUUGUAAACUAAAGGCUAAAAGGAAAUUAGGUUCAGAAUGGAAGGAAUGUGUACGGUUGAGCUUUCAUUGGUAAGUGAUCAAAGAGAUCUCCCAAGGAGAUAUCAUUCUAUUAUCAAAAGUAAAUAUGGGGGAAGGGGGCACAAAAUAAGAGACUAGACGUCAAUCCUAUAGUUACAGAUUCACAUCAUUGUCCAUAACAAGUCAUUUACAAGAGUUACCUAGACUCAAUUCAUCACAUUAGAUACUCUACGGACCUACUAUGAAAAGGUAUAAAGAACCUUUUUGGGAAGAGUUAGGUGCAAUUCGAGGUUUGUGGUCUGAUUCCUGGUGCAUCGGUGGGGACUUCAAUGUUAUUAGAUUUCCCAAUGAACGGAGUAGAGUUGGAAGACUAUCUGGUCCUAUGAGAAGGUUUUCAGAGGUGCUAAAUGAGUUGGCUUUAAGAGAUCUGCCUCUUCAGGGGGGUCCUUAUACGUGGAGUGGGGGGUUAAAUGGCCAAUCCUGGUCGAGACUGGAUCGCUUCCUGAUUUCGGAGGAUUGGGAAAACCAUUUUAGUGGAGUGUCUCAGUGCACACUCCCAAGGCCUGUGUCUGACCAUUCCCCAAUCCUGUUAGAUGGGGGUGGUGUUAGGAGAGGUCCUAUCUCUUUCCGUUUUGAGAAUAUGUGGUUGAAGGAGAAGGGAUUUAAGGAGCUUCUGAAGGGUUGGUGGCAAGGAUUUAAUUGCAGUGGUUCAUAUAGCUUUGUCCUCUCAGAAAAACUAAAGGCCUUAAAAGUUAAGCUGAAGAAUUGGAAUAAGGAAGUCUUUGGUAAGGUGGGAGUAAACUUGAGGAUGGCUUUGGGCAGUGUAUCUUUUUGGGAUGAUCAGGAGAGGCAGAGAACGUUAAACGAGCAGGAGUUAGAGGCUAGAAAGGAGGCCAAGGAGGAGUUUAAAAAGUGGGCGAUUAUGGAGGAAAUCUCGUGGAGGCAGAAAUCAAGACAAAUAUGGUUGAAGGAAGGAGAUAAGAACACAGGAUUCUUUCAUAAGAUGGCGAACUCUAACAGUAGAAGGAAUUGUUUGAAAAAGAUUAAAGUCAGAGGUAUUUGGCUUUCAGACGAGCAAGAUAUUCAAAGGGGAGUGGUAAGGGCCUAUCAGGAUCUAUUAUCGGAUCCUGGUGGCUGGCACCCGAGCAUGAGCAGCUUGAAGUUUGAUAGUAUUGGAAGAGAGGAGGCUGCCAGGCUGGAGGAGAUGUUCUCUUUGGAAGAGGUGUAUCUGGCCCUUUCGGAGCUAAAUGGGGACAAGGCUCCUGGACCGGAUGGAUUUCCCAUUGCCUUCUGGCAGUUCUGUUGGGAUUUUGUCAAAGACGAAAUUAUGGGCUUCUUUAAGGAUUUUUUAAAGAGGGGUAAAUUCGUUAAAAGUCUCAACUCCACGUUUCUGGUUUUAGUCCCCAAGAAAGGUGGGGCUGAGGAUUUACGUGACUAUAGACCCAUCAGCUUGGUGGGUGGUCUGUACAAGAUCCUCGCCAAGGUUCUAGCCAAUAGGCUGAAGAAAGUAGUGAGUAAGGUGGUGUCUUUGGCCCAAAAUGCCUUUGUUGAAGGAAGGCAAAUCCUUGACGCAGCGUUAAUUGCUAACGAGGCCAUAGACUCGAUGCUGAAAGGGGAUGAAGCUGGUGUGUUAUGCAAGCUGGACCUAGAGAAGGCUUAUGACCAUAUUAACUGGGAUUUUCUGAUGUUAGUGAUGCAAAAAAUGGGCUUUGGGGAGAAGUGGGUCGGCUGGAUCAGGUGGUGCAUCUCCACUGCCUCUUUCUCAGUUCUGAUUAACGGUUCGCCAACGGGCUUCUUCCAGAGCACUCGAGGGUUAAGGCAAGGGGACCCCAUUUCCCCCUACUUGUUUGUCUUAGGAAUGGAGGCCUUAAGCUGCCUCAUUAACAAAGCGGUUAGGGGGGGCUUCCUAUCCGGCUGCAGGCUAAGGGGAAGGGGUGGAAAUGGGAUUCAAGUUUCUCAUCUAUUAUUUGCAGAUGAUACGCUGGUCUUUUGCAAGGACUCCCAAGACCAAAUGGUUGUUCUAAGCUGGCUUUUAAUGUGGUUUGAAGCCAUUUCUGGUCUGAAUAUUAACUUGGAAAAGAGCGAAAUUCUGUUGGUGGGAAGUGUUAAGAAUGCUGAGGUCUUGGCUUCUGAAUUGGGCUGCAAAGUGGGUUCUCUUCCUUCCACUUACUUGGGGCUGCCUCUAGGUGCUCCUCACAAAUCGGUGGUUGUGUGGGAUGGUGUGGAAGAAAGGAUGAGGAAGAGACUCGCUCUAUGGAAGAGGCAGUUUAUUUCUAAGGGGGGGAGAAUCACUCUCAUUCGGAGCACUUUGGCUAGCAUGCCGAUUUAUCUUAUGUCCUUGAUGCGUAUUCCAAGAGUUGUAAGAUUGAGGCUUGAGAAAAUCCAAAGGGAUUUCCUUUGGGGAGGGGGUGCGUUGGAGAAGAGGCCUCACCUUGUAAAAUGGGAUGUGGUUCGCUUUCAUAAAAUGAAGGGUGGAUUGGGGAUCAUAAAUUUUUCUAUCCUCAAUAGGGCCCUGUUGUGUAAAUGGAGCUGGCGCUUUGCAGCUGAAAGAGAAUCUUUUUGGAAACUUGUUAUCAGCUCGAAGUAUGGGGAAGAAGAAGGAGGGUGGAUCUCUUGUGAGGUUAGGGAAGGCUAUGGGGUGGGGUUGUGGAAGGAAAUUAGAAAGGAAGGCGUUCUGUUGUUUAAAACGCUUCCUUCACUAUAGGGGAUGGUAGAAGGGUGAAAUUUUGGAAGGACAUUUGGUGUGGAAAUACUCCCCUAUGUGAGGCUUUUCCUUCUCUGUUUGCCUUUGCGGUAUCCCAAGAUGCGUGGGUAGAGGAUUGUUGGGAUUAUAUGGGGGAUGCGGGGGGAUGCGGGGGGAUGGUAUCCUUGUUUUUCUAGGUCUUUUAAUGACUGGGAGCUGGAGGCGGUGGCGAGUCUCCUUUCGGUCCUUCAAGGAAAGAGGCUGAAUGUUGGAUUGGAGGAUAGAGUGGUGUGGAAUGCUUCUAAGAAUGGGAUUUUCUCUGUAAAAUCCCUUUACAAUACUCUGGAUUUUGGUGGUGCAGUCCCGUUUCCGUGGAGAAUCAUAUGGAGCCCUUGCGUGCCUACUAAGGUGGGUUUUUUUGCUUGGGAAGCUUCUUGGGGGAAGGUCCUAACCCAAGAUCAUCUCAAAAGGAGGGACUGGUCUCUAGCAAACAGAUGCUUCUUAUGUUGUGAUGAUGAGGAGACAAUUAACCACAUCCUUAUUCAUUGCCCCAAGGCGAAGGUGUUGUGGAAUCUUAUGUUUAUGAUGUUUAGGGUUAAUUGGGUCCUUCAGCUCACGGUUAAAGACACUCUCCUUGGCUGGUCCGAUUCCUUUGUAGACAAGAAGCGUGGGAAGAUUUGGCGGGCAGCCCCCCUUUGUUUAUUUUGGACGAUGUGGAAAGAAAGAAAUAGGAUAGUUUUUGAUAAUGAGGCUUUGUCGAUCCAAAGAUUGAAAACCUCCUUCGUUUGUAAUCUUUUCUCUUGGACUAAGUCCUGCUUAGAUGGAGAGCCCCACUCCUUAAUUAAUUUUGUAGAUUGGUUGGGCUCUAAUUGAGGGUUGGUGAGUGUCUGCUUCCUUGUGCUUUUUGUUUUUGGGGCUUCUCGUGUAUACUUCCUGUAUGCUUUGGGUUGCCUUCUUGCUUCCCUCUUUUUAAUAUAAUAUUUCUGUGUUUAUCUAUCAAAAAAAAUUCAUCACAUUAGAUACAUUAUUGGAGAUGGAUCUAAGAUUAAGUCUUAGGAAGAUUUAUAUAUAUAUAUAUAUAUAUAUAUAUAUAGAGAGAGAGAGAGAGAGAGAGAGAGAGAGAUAAAGGUCUUAGGAGGAUCUUUAUAGAGGAGAUCUACCUUUGUAUUAUCUUUUUUUUUUUCUUUGAUCAGU
rnacentral:lncRNA from 1 species